rnacentral:rRNA from 1 species
UACGGAGGGUGCAAGCGUUAUCCGGAUUCACUGGGUUUAAAGGGUGCGUAGGCGGGCUUGUAAGUCAGUGGUGAAAGCCCGGAGCUCAACUCCGGAACUGCCGUUGAUACUGCAAGUCUUGAGUGCACUUGAGGUGGGCGGAAUACAUCAUGUAGUGGUGAAAUACUUAGAUAUGAUGUAGAACACCGAUUGCGAAGGCAGCUCACUAAAUUGCAACUGACGCUGAGGCACGAAAGCGUGGGGAUCAAACAGG